AUCUUUAUGCAGGGGCAUUACGUGUAUCAGUGAGGAUUCGUCCGAGAUCAUGUUUUUGCUGGUUGAAAACUAUACCUGACAGCUCCUUAAUGUUAUGGUCUUGUGCCAUUGACGUUAAGGGAAUUUUUGGAAAAGCUUUCGUG
rfam:Pichia sorbitophila strain CBS 7064 chromosome M complete sequence.